CAGCGACGCCGCGUGAGGGAUGAANNNCNUCGGAUUGUAANNNNCUUUCAGUAGGGAAGAAGCGAAAGUGACGGUACCUAAAGAAGAAGCACCGGCUAACUAUGUGCCAGCAGCCGCGGUAAUACAUAGGGUGCAAGCGUUGUCCGGAAUUAUUGGGCGUAAAGAGCUCGUAGGUCGUUUGUCGCGUCGAUUGUGAAAAUCUGAGGCUCAACCUCAGACCUGCAGUCGAUACGGGCAAACUAGAGUGUGGUAGGGGAGACUGGAAUUCCUGGUGUAGCGGUGGAAUGCGCAGAUAUCAGGAGGAACACCAAUGGCGAAGGCAGGUCUCUGGGCCAUAACUGACACUGAGGAGCGAAAGUGCGGGGAGCGAACAGGAUUAGAUACCCUGGUAGUCCGCACCGUAAACGGUGGGCACUAGUUGUGGGAACCUUCCACGGUUUCCGCGACGCAGCAAACGCAUUAAGUGCCCCGCCUGGGGAGUACGAUCGCAAGAUUAAAACUCAAAGGAAUUGACGGGGCCCCGCACAAGCAGCGGAGCAUGCGGCUUAAUUCGACGCAACGCGAAGAACCUUACCAAGGCUUGACAUAUAGCGAAAAGUGGCAGAGAUGUCAUGUCCGCAAGGGCGCUAUACAGGUGGUGCAUGGUUGUCGUCAGCUCGUGUCGUGAGAUGUUGGGUUAAGUCCCGCAACGAGCGCAACCCUCGUUCUGUGUUACCAGCAUUUAGUUGGGGACUCACAGGAGACUGCCGGGGUCAACUCGGAGGAAGGU
rnacentral:rRNA from 1 species